AGACAGGGUAGACUUGGGAAAAUGAUGUCGAAGACUUCAAGAAAAGCAUACGUGCAAAGUUCCAAAAUUCCAACUUCAUAAUUUCUAUAAAUUUAAGAUGAUCAAUAACAACCAGAUAUAAAUCUCACCCCUUUACCAUUUGCACAAGUGAUCUUUCUUGAUAGAUUCAUACAAGUGUUUCUAACUAACCUCACAUUUCUGAAAUCCACUUCCAGAAACGAGUCCAAUUAUGGCUCACAACUCCUUCACAAUACAAAAAGUAUAUUCCCUAGUGUUCAUCGCAUUGCUGCUUCAUAUCAUCAUGAAUAGUGGUAGUACCCACCCUAAUGCCACUGCCAGAAAUACUGUAACCAUUGGCAAAAAUGAGACAGAUCAUCUUGCCUUGUUGGCCAUCAAGUCAAAGAUUGUUCAUGACCCUCAAGGUGUCCUGAGCUCGUGGAAUGAGUCACUUCAUUUCUGCAACUGGGAAGGUGUUGCAUGUGGUCGUCGCCAUCGCAGAGUCAUCAGUAUAGAAUUAUGGUCCAGAGGCUUAGUGGGUUCGUUGUCACCACAUGUUGGAAACUUGAGCUUCCUUCGUGUAUUAAGGAUCUACAACAACACUCUUCAAGGUGAAAUCCCUCCUCAAGUUGGUCAUUUGUUCAGGCUGCAACUAUUGGACUUGAACAACAACUACUUCAAAGGAGAAAUCCCAGCCAACUUAUCCCACUGCUACAACCUCAUGUAUCUCCGCGUAGGUUUCAAUAAGCUAGUUGGGAAAGUUCCUGAAGAGCUUGGUUCAUUGUCAAGGCUCAUAAAACUAAUCAUUCACGCGAAUUACUUAGUUGGUGGGAUCCCUCGAUUCAUUACCAGACUGACUUCUCUUGAAUCUGUGUCUGCAGGUCAAAACCAUUUCACUGGUGGUCUUCCUGCUGCCUUGGGUCAAUUGAAAAAUUUAAAAGUACUUGCGUUUGGUGACAAUCAACUCUCUGGUACAAUCCAUCCUUCCAUUUACAAUCUUUCUUCUCUAACUGUUCUCUCUUUCGGUGUUAACCAGCUUCAUGGCACUCUUCCACCCAGCUUAGGACUGAUGCUCCCUUAUCUUCAACUCCUCGAAUUAGGGGGGAACAAAUUUACUGGACCCAUUCCUUUCUCAAUAUCCAACUGUACAACACUAGGAACCCUUACUAUGGAAGAAAAUAAUUUCAAUGGGAAAUUAGCAAUUAAUUUUGGAGGCCUCCAAAAUCUCCUGGAAAUUAUCCUACAUGAUAAUAAUUUAGGAAGUGGAGAGCCAGAUGAAAUGAACUUCAUUAAUUCUUUGGCUAACUGUAGCAAUUUUGAGUUGUUAGAACUUUCUGAUAACCAAUUCAGAGGGAUCUUACCCAAUUCUGUGGGCAAUCUCUCAAACCAAUUUUAUUUUCUCUCACUUGGUACAAAUUUCAUACAUGGAAAACUCCCUUCAGCAAUAGGUGAUCUUGUCAACUUAAAUUUUUUAAUUCUAGAUCAUAAUCGAUUCACGGGCCCAAUUCCAGCUGCUAUUGGAAAUCUUCAAAAUUUACAACGGGCAUAUCUUGGUACAAAUUCAUUUAAUGGAGAAAUACCACAAUCUAUAGGCAACUUAUCAUUGUUGAUAGAGCUUUACUUGGAUGAGAACAGAUUAGUGGGGAACAUACCCUUGAGUAUUGGAAAUUGCAAGAAAUUGUUAUUGCUUGAUCUUUCCCAAAAUAAUCUUAGUGGCACCAUACCCAAACAACUUUUGAGAAUUUCAACUCUUUCUAUUUCACUCAAUCUAUCUCGAAAUCGUUUUUUCGGAUCCUUACCUUCUGACGUUGGCAACCUCAUAAAGUUGGCAGAUUUGGAUAUAUCUGAGAAUGGGUUGUCUGGUGAAAUUCCAAAUAGCCUUGCGAGUUGUACUAGCCUCGUAAACCUCUAUAUGGAGGGGAACUUCUUUAAUGGAUCAAUUCCUCAAUCGUUGAGUUCCUUGAGAGGUAUUAUGAACUUUGAUCUUUCUAGGAACAAAUUGUCUGGAAAGGUUCCAAGAUUCUUUGAGCAUUUUUCCUUGAAGAAUCUUAAUUUAUCCUUCAAUGAUUUUGAGGGUGAGGUGCCGAUUGAAGGAGAUUUUGCAAAUGCAAGUGUAAUUUCAGUUGUUGGAAACAGUAGGCUCUGUGGUGGCAUACCAAAACUUCAACUACCAAAAUGCAACAUCAAAGAAUCAAAGAAAAAGAAAAGUUCUCUUCUGCUCAUAUUAGUGAUCUCAGUAGUGUGCACACUUCUGGGUGUGACAAUGGUAGUAUCUUUCUGGUUUUGUUGGGUUAAAAAGAAAAGAAAUGUUCCACCUUCGGGAAUAUUGUUGAGAGAAUCAUUCAUGAAAGUGUCUUAUGAAAUGCUCCUCAAAGCUACUGGCGGGUUCUCUUCAACAAAUUUGAUUGGUGUGGGUAGUUAUGGCUCUGUCUACAAAGGAAUCCUUGAUCCAAAUGAAACCAUUGUUGCAGUCAAAGUACUAAACCUCCAACGUCAGGGAGCUUCCAAAAGUUUCAUGGCCGAGUGUGAAGCCUUGAGAAAUAUCAGACAUCGGAAUUUGGUAAAGGUCAUAACUUCUUGCUCGAGCAUUGAUUUUCAAGGAAAUGAUUUUAAGGCUCUAGUCUAUGAAUUCAUGAUCAAUGGGAGUCUAGAGAGUUGGUUGUAUCCAAGUCCGAAAUCUACUAAUGGAGAGAAUGACCAAACUCAGAGCCUAAACCUUCUUCAAAGAAUUAAUGUUGCAGUUGAUGUGUUGUCUGCACUAGAGUAUCUUCACCAUCAUUGUGAAACGCCAAUAAUUCAUUGCGAUCUAAAGCCAAGCAAUGUCCUACUUGAUAGCGACAUGGUUGCUCAUGUAGGAGAUUUUGGAUUAGCAAGGUUUCUUCAACAACUCACAAAUCCAAAUCAGAGCAGUUCAAUUGCAGUAAGGGGAACUGUUGGUUAUGCAGCUCCAGAGUAUGGAUUGGGAAGCAAAGUGUCAACAAAAGGGGAUGUAUACAGUUAUGGGAUCUUGGUAUUGGAGAUGAUGACAAGGAAAAGGCCUACUGACAGUAUGUUUGAGGGAGGUCUUAACAUUCAUAACUUUGCUAGGAUGGCUUUGCCUGACCGUGUUAUGGAGAUUGUAGACCCAAUACUACUGAACAUUGAUGAUGAAGAAGAGGUAGCAGCACUGUCAAAUAGAAAUCGAGAUCCUGAAGGAUUAAAAAAUGACAUCCGAAUGGAGUGUCUGUUGUCAAUGAUCAAGAUCGGAGUAGCAUGCUCCAUGGAGUCACCACAAGACCGGAUGGACAUUAACGACGUCUUGCGUGAGCUGAAUUUGGUCAGGAAAAAUCUUCAAGGCACUCAGAACAAGUCCUGAUGCAUAAUGGGUUUCAUCGACAAAUUAAGUUGCCCUGGAUUGCUUUUCUUCGGAAUGUUAAGAAUACCAACAGGUUCAAGCUCACGGACUCUGCUUCAACUAGAAGGCUUCCGUUUUGGUCCAGUCAUUGUUUCUCUGGUGCUAUAAGGACUUAUGCACUUGAAGAGUUGAAGUCGGCAACAAGGGACUUUAGGAUUCGAAUAGGCGUUGGAGCCACAUCCGUUGCGUAUCUUGUAGAGCUUGGUCAUGGGCAAUUUGGUGCCGUGAAGCGGGUUAUGGAGGAGAAAGGUGGCAGCAAGAAGAUGUUCUUGGAUGAAGUUUCAGUUCUUCUUAGGAUUUCACACCCAAAUUUGGUUGGGUUGUUGGGUUUCUGCUUGGAUAAAGGUAAAUCAUCCAUAUAUAAUCCAUUCUAUAUAAGUAAUCUUUGCAAGAUCAUAAAUACAUGUGUAUUUGUAUAAAACAUAUGAUAUAUUAUUAUACCAAAUGUUUGAAUUAAUUCUUUAAGCCAUUUUAUUUUCUCCCUAAUUUAGGUACAUCAUUGUACCAAGGAAGGAUUUUUUUUUUUCAGAAAUUUUUUAAUAUUUUUUUUCAGAAAUUUUUUACUUGUGCUUCACUUGCAAUCCAAUUUUUUAAUCUUAAACAUUCUUUAACGAUGUCUUGCAUGAGCUGAAUUUGGUCAGGAAAAAUCUUCAAGGCGCUGGAACAAGUCUCGAUGCAUAAUGGUAAGAGCCAAAACUCAAACUUAAAUGCCUGUUAUUAUCAAGUCCUCGUUCUAUAUUUGAUUUAAAAAUUUUGUUCCAAAAUAGAGCUUUGUGCAUUGGUUAUCAGAUUGGGGUAGGUUUCAAAUGCCCACUUUCAUUUACCAAACCGCUGUUCUCUUUCCUUUUCAGAUGAAGAAUCGUUAUCCCACCUAGUCUUGAAAUGUUCAUUCUCUACCUUCAUUUAGAACCAUAUACAAUUCAUUUGUUGCUUUGGGUCUCUGAUCAUUUGAAUCCCAAUAUAAGUUUGAAGGUUUUAAUCAACAAAUUAAGUGGCCCUGGCUUGCUGUGUCUUUUCAAUUUGCCCUUCUACUUUUCUUUGGAAUGUUAAGAAUACUGAAUACCAACACAUUCAAGCUCAUAUCUCUAAAACUCAAGGAAUCUGCAUCAACUAGAAGGCUUGCAUCUAACCAGCUAGUUCAUUCAUCUUCAUUGUGAAACAGGUUAAGCUCAUCUUUUGGUCUGGCUGCUGUUUAAUUCUUAAGUUCUUGUUGUAGUAGUAAGUUAAUUGCUGCUUGGUUUGUGGUUCUGCUGGUGUUGUAAGAUUUAAGAAAUUUCUGUAUUGUAUGUAUCAUUGUUUGCUUCUGCUUUGGCUGCUCUAGUUUGGAUUCCAUUGUUUCAUGGAGUAGUUUUGUCUAGUUUUCCAGAGCCAUUCUUGUUGGUUGGACUUUUGUCCCCAGGGUAUACCCUGCUGCUUUGUAUUCAUUCUUCUAUUCUAUAUAAAUUUACACUCAAGGGGGAUAUAUAUAUAUAUAUAUAUCAAGGUGGAACUACCAAACCAUGGCUUUAUAGGUUAAUGGAACAUACAACUAGACCUUAAUCAGUCUGAAAACUAAUUGAAAAUUAAUGGUUUUGGAACUUCCAAAAAAGUGAAUCACGAAGAAUGUUUAAUGGAUCCUACCAUGUGUUUAGCUCUGGCUAUGGUAUGGGUGAACCGUGAAUCUUUAUCAAGAUAGAUUAAACAUUUUAGGGGUCUUAAAAAGAAAAUAUUAAUCUCUCUACAUACAUGUGUGUGUAUUCUGGAGUGGAUAAAAUCGAAGAUAGAAACAUAAUUGUAACCCUUGUGUACAUUUUAUUCCCAUGCAUAAGACAAAUUUCAGCUAUCUAAGUAUCUAAUGCUAAAUUUCAAACCAAAGGAUCUUUGGAACACAUGCACCAACUUAAUUCUCUCAUCUAUCCUUCUAAACCUUCCCCCUUCAACUUCUCUCUCUCUGAGUACAAGGCAUAUAUGAGAGUGAAGAACAGAAAACAGAACAACACCAUGUGGGUCCUUGGAUUCUCCACCACAAAUCCAAGAAACACAUGCACCAACUUAAUUCUAUCAUCUAUCUUUCUAAGGACUUGUGCACUUGAAGAGCUGAAGACGGCUAUGAGGGACUUGGCAAUGGACAAUUUGGUGGGGUGAAGAAUGUUUAAGAUGUUCUUGGAUGAAGUUUCGAUUCUCCUUAGGAUUUAACAGCCAAAUUUGGGGACUAUUUUUUUUUUUUUUUACCUGCUGGUAGCUUAUGAGAAAAGCUUAUACUUCAGAAAUUAGUUUGGAGAUGAUGUUUUGCUUAUUGACAAAGUAGACUAAAAUUCCAAUAGCCAAUGAGCUUGGAUUUGGUCUUAGUUGUAGAAUGUCUCUUUUGUUGUAGAUUUACUUUGACAAUUUUUUUUUUUUUUUUUUUAAAUUUAUUUAUUUUGACAAAUACUUCUACAAUGCAUUUGGGAUAUUUGGACCCUCAAUAUUCCGCUUAGACAUUAACAAAUUUGCUUUGAUUAAGUAAUACCUAAUUGUACCUCCUACAUUAGAUAUAUAGAUGAUGCAGAAAAUGUGCAUGGUGUAGAGACAGUAGAGGCAAGUAGUGGGGGAUACACAAGAUAUAAAUGUAACAAGACAAGUUGUUUACGGUGAUAAAAAUAAAGAAGUGAAACUAUCUGAGUUGGAUGAUAUUGUAUUCCCCACUGAUAAUUAAGCUUAUAAAAUAAAAAUAGUAAUUAAAAAAACUCAUUCAAAUGUAUGUGUUUUGUGUAUUAAAAGAUGCUGAAUCUCACAAUCGUUUAUUUCAUCAAUGUGAGUAUUUUCAGGUAAUCUGGUCAGCACUUCAACAUAAGUAUGGGUUCCAUACGAACCCUAGAAAUUGGCACAAGUUCCUCAUUUGGGCCUCAUCCAAUUGGAAACAGAAGAAAAAGUCGAAUAAAAUUCUUGUUGGGAAACUUACCUUGGCCAGUUUUGUGUAUCACGUCUGUAAAGUAAAGAAAAUGCUAGGGUUUUCUCCAGUUCUUGUAGCCAUCAUUCAAAAAUCCUCAGCGACUCUGUUCUCAAUCACUUUUUCUCUGUCCUCAACCUGGAACUCGACAGUCCUUGCUCUGCAAAUUUGAGAUUGUGGUGUUCCCUGUUGAUUCUCCCGCCUUUGUGGGUCUAGCUUGGGUCACCAUUCGGACCUAACGUAGGAUUGCCCAAUGGGCCUUGUUUCGUCUCUUUGGGCUUUUGUUUGUUGGUUGGGUUUUGAUUGUUUCUCUUGACAUAUCCCCUCUUGUCCGUUUUUAUCUUGAUAAAAGAAAAGAAAAAUCCUCACAUCGAUGUAAUAUCCUUUAUUAUUGAAGUACACUCAUUAAAAUAAAUCGAACCACGUUGAAAUUUGAGAAUAACCCCAUCAACUAUAUCAUAUACACAAUACUUUUUAAACUUUUUUAUUUUGUUACAAAAUGCUCCCAUGCCUCUCAUUAAAUAUGUAAUGUCUGUUUCUAUAUAUAUAUGUGCAUAUGUGUAUAUUUGUGUGUGUGUGGUGUAAUUUAAAACAAAAAGAAAAAGGAAAAUAAAAAGGAAAAUGGGUGGGACCCACAUGCACUUAAAAUGGUCAUGACACCACUUUUUGUUCCGAAUUUUAUUUCAUUUUCCCGUAAGCUUUUCUCUCUCGUUCCAGAAGCUCUCUGUUUUUUUUUCUUUUUUUUUUUGUUUCAAUCUUCAAGGCUUGAUUGCUCCCUCAUCUCUUAGUAUUUUUAAGUGUCGUUUGAGGCAAAACGAAGCCCACGACGAGCUCUACGCAUCUAUACCAUCAAUUUCAGUUUUUGUGCACCCUUUGGAUUUCGAAAUUCAAGACCUACUUUUAAGGGUUUUGUGCAAAUUUGAGGUAUGGACUCUUAAUCCACAAGUUUCUUGCUCCUAUGUGAAUUACAUCUUCUAAUUUGAUGCUAGACAUGUUUACUUAUGCUAGUUGUAGUUUAAAGAAAUUAUAGCAUGUGUAUGUGGUUAUGUGAGAACUUGUUUUAAAUGUUUUAUGUGGAAAUUCUUGCUUAUGUGAUGAUUUAUAUAUGUUCGUUGUGCUAGAUGCAUUGUUGUACAAGAGCAUGUUAUAAUCCCUUGAGAAAUUCUUGCGAAAUUAUGUCUUACUUACUUAAAUAGAGUUGAAUGUGAAAUGAUGAUUAAAUUCAUGGUAUUGAUGCACUCAUGCACUUAAAUUGGGCAUGAAACGGGAAGAAUGAGUUUGAAAUGAAAAAUGAGAUUUUGGGAAAAAUGAUUUGAUGAAACGGUUUUGAAAAACCCGGUCGCCGCGGGGAUACCAAAGGUCCGGAGUGUUAAUAUAGCCUAGAGGGGACUAAUAAGUCGCCCUAGCGUGGUUGAGCUAGCUGGGCCCCAUAAUGACGCCGCGGGGGUACCAAGGGUCAGGGACACUAACCAAUCCUCCUCUCGUGUCGCUGCGGGGUCACCAAAGGGCGGGUUAUAUUAACAGUUUGAAAGUGAUGUUUGAGAACAGAAAAUAAGGAGUGACAUUGGCAUGCAUUUGCAUUUCAUGGCAUCGUGUAGGUUGUACUUGAGUUUGGUUGGAAUGUUGUAUUAUUUCCCGACAUUGUAUGAUCCUCAUUUCCUAUUGGCCUAUUCUUUGUAUGGAUUCACAGGGACACAAGAAAAGUGUCUUAAGCAUCACUUACUGAGCAUAUUUGUUCACCCUACUAUUUAUAUUAUUUUUUUCAGGUCUUGGAAAUGAACCGGUGGACGACAAUCCACCUCAAGCUUAAAAGUUGUUAGAAGGUUGUUUGUUAUUUUGUAUUUUGACCAUUCUAUGUAUACUCAUAGUUGUGGAAAUGUAACUAAGUUAGUAUUCAUGGCCUUGUAACUUAAGAAUAAAUUUAUCUUUUGUUUGAUGUAAAUGAAAUUAAUGGAAUUGUGGUA